rnacentral:tRNA from 1 species
UAGCUCACUUGGUAGAGCAUGGUGCUUCUAACACCAGGGUACUGGGUUCAAUUCCCGG